rnacentral:lncRNA from 1 species
CCACCAUCUUGGAGCUCACUGCCCUCAGUGUAAUGGCACCAGUAGAUCUGCCUGUGCACAGACUUCCUGUACUACCCACUCUUGAGGGGUGAUGCUUCUGCCUCACCAUAUGCUCAGGCCUAUGACCGGAUGCACAACUUUAGACACCAUCAUCCUGGAGCAGCUCUGCACCCUCACUAGCCAGGGUGUUGACAUCCUCAAGGCCAAGGCCACAUUCAAGACUUUGGAUUUCAUUGAUGCACUUGUCCUGAGCAAACCCAGAAACCCAAGCCUGCCUGGCUGCCUCUUAGGAUACGACAGCACAGCCAGUGGCCUCUACUGGAUCCUGUACAACCUCACAAGACACCCAGGCAGUGGGAGUGCUGGCAGCAUGUGGUACAAGAGUUCCAAGGGACCACAAUCCUGAAGACAUUGAAUGUUUUUAGGUGAAAAAACUGGGAGAGUUGCCAAAAUUCAUACCGCUGGUCCAGGUUUGAACCAAGCAGUCUGCACCUAGAGUCCUUGUUUGUAACCAUGGCACCCUGGCUUCACACACAUCUCAUCGUGGAGUUCCACCUUGUGUCAGCCAUUUUGCAGACCCUGGUCAGAGUGAAACGUUCUAUGGGAACUCGGGCCGUGAGAAGCAUCCUUCCUAACCACCUGACUGUAGAAACAUCCUUAUCACAUCCUCCCGGUCAAAGGCCCAACAGCCUGACUGCAGGAACAUCCUUGCCAUAUCCUGCCGGGCAGCAAGCUCUACCGCCCAGACCCCUCCCUCCC